rnacentral:rRNA from 1 species
UACGUAGGGGGCAAGCGUUAUCCGGAAUUAUUGGGCGUAAAGAGUAUGUAGGUGGUUUAGUAAGCGUGUGGUGAAAGACCGAAGCUCAACUUCGGUUAGCCUUGCGAACUGCUAGACUUGAGUGCAGGAGAGGAAAGUGGAAUUCCUAGUGUAGCGGUGAAAUGCGUAGAUAUUAGGAGGAACACCAGUGGCGAAGGCGACUUUCUGGACUGUAACUGACACUGAGAUACGAAAGCGUGGGUAGCAAACAGG